UACGGGGGGGGCAAGCGUUGUUCGGAAUUACUGGGCGUAAAGGGCUCGUAGGCGGCCAACUAAGUCAGACGUGAAAUCCCCGGGCUCAACCCGGGAACUGCGUCCGAUACUGGAAGGCUUGAAUCCGGGAGAGGGAUGCGGAAUUCCAGGUGUAGCGGUGAAAUGCGUAGAUAUGACAUAGAACACCAAUUGCGAAGGCAGCUUACUAAGCAAAUAUUGACGCUGAGGCACGAAAGCGUGGGGAUCAAACGGG
rnacentral:rRNA from 1 species